AGAGUUUGAUCCUGGCUCAGAUUGAACGCUGGCGGCAUGCCUAACACAUGCAAGUCGAACGGCAGCACAGUAAAGAUUUCGGUCUUUAUGGGUGGCGAGUGGCGGACGGGUGAGUAAUGCGUAGGAAUCUGUCCUGGAGCGUGGGAUAACCCGAGGAAACUCGGGCUAAUACCACAUGAUAUCGAGAGAUCAAAAGCAGG
rnacentral:rRNA from 1 species